UGCAAUAAUUGAGAUAACAAUGAAUGGAAAUGAUUGUCCAAGUGGAUGCAUAUCAUAUGAGUAACUCCAGGAAAUGACUAAAUAGCUCUACUGUCUUAUGCUUAGCAUAAAUAAACUAUAAUGCAUUAUCGCUGUAAGGAAGAUGUAUUGACAUGAUGUUGCAUGUUAUGAACGGACAUCUUCCUCUGCCCCAUUUAUUCUUUCUUAUUUACUAAAUAUUCCACUUCAUAUUGGGUACUAAUUGCAUAAGAAAUCUUAUUUUGCAUACUACAUCCAGUAAUUAAGUGUUUCUAGGUAACUUAUAUUUGGAAUUCUUUUGUUACAGGUCCACAUUUGGGACAGAAAACAUGAUAUAACGUCACAUGAAAGAUGAAACUUGUUUACUGCCUUUUCAUCCGCAGGUGGAUAAUAUGCCUUCCAAUGAAGGAUCCAAUGAUUAGUUAUGAGUCCCUCAUUGCAAACAAAUAUCUAGAAUGACAGUGAAUGUUAGAUCGAGAUAAAAUUCAGUACAAUUAGUUGACAGACACAGACAAGGGCUUCACUCCUAUGAAGAUCUUUGUGGUAUGAUUAUAAUGCUAUCAUGCAAUAUUUUUGUUUUGAGAUUUGGUUCAAAUACUUAAAAAUCAUCUAUUUGAUAUUGUUCUACUCUACUUAUUUGCGGUUCAGUGAUCUGGGAGUUUUUGACCGUCAGAUCUCGUGUAAAAACCGUUCUGUCACGCAUUGUGUGUAAUCUGGCUGCUCCAGGGGCCGAAACAAAGACAUCUGCUGCAUUGGGCCGUCCGCGAGCGGCCAGCCCAUUUACCAUCACUGUUCACCCCCUCCCCUUCUUCAACCUCGUCAUGCCCACGAUCUCGCGUCCUGCAAAUCGUUAGGCGUGCCCGCCGCUAGUGCCACCCUCCGGCCAACUCGGUCGCUGUGGAGAUAAGGAAGACGCCGUCGCAAGUUCAACGUCGUGCCAACCCACCCCAUCCCGAGCCGAGGUAUGCCCCAUUUUCACCCGGAGAAAGAGAGGGAGGACAGGAUCUUGCCGCUAUCGUGCUGGACCCAGCCGUCGCCGCGUCUAGGUCGAGGUCGCCCGGAUGCGCUUGGCUCGGGGUCCCCUCGCUCGAUCCGGCGGCCACUGCUCGCCACUGGGUUGGGGCGCCGCGCUCGGGGGAGGGCUCGCUGGAGAUGCGCGACGGCCCUGGACGCUACCAUGCAGCACCGGAGACGGGUGACGGCCGUGGUGGAGGCUUCGGGGGUUCCCGGACUGAGGAAAAGAAAGAGGUGGAUGGACGGAGGGAGAUGGCGUGGGCUAGCUAGGAUGAGGAUUUGGGGACGCCGGUGCUCCCACUCGAGGAAAAGGGCUGGGGAGAACAGCAAAACGCCGGUGGCCCGGUGGCCAGGUGGAUUGGACGGGUGAGAGAGCUGGGAUGGGUUGCCUGGCUGUGGUUCUAUUGAACUGAAUUAAUAUGUUCAGUGCUACUAAAUAUUUUAAGUGCUACUAAAUAUUUUGAGUGCUACUGAACUGAACUUGUGAAUUAUUCAAAUGGGAUUUACAUAGAUCUCCUACUGAAUAUGUUCAAUGCAAGAGUAAAAAAGAGAGAAUAUUUUCCUCAAUUUUAGACAUUUUCUCAUAAUUAAACGUACAUUAAUAGAGGUUUUUCUUGAUCAUAAUUUUCUGAGUUGUCGGAAUGUUAUGUGUUUACUUAUUUUCCAUUUGUCUGAUCAGACAGAAAUUAAAUUGUUUCUUUCUCCCACAAACAGAGACUAUGCAUGUGAGUUCACUUAUCUUGGUUUGCAUAUGGAUGAACUAAUAGGUGAUGAAGUGGAUUUGUAUUUCUGGUUAUAUGCUUCUAGAGAAGGUUGUGUAUGUGAACAAGGAGAAAACUUUUGAAUCAUCUACUUGACAGGUCGCAAAGUUAUCACAGAUGCAAUAUAUUGAUGUUAUAAGUUCGAAGUCAAGCAGGUAUUUUAUUUCUAACUUAAUAAAUCAUUCAGUAUUAUAAAUCAAUAAUGUUCUUUCUAUAUCAUCUUUCAAUUUCAGAGUGGUGCUAAGGACCUAAGGUACCAACUGAAUGUACGAGCAAAAACAUAAUUCAUAUGCAAGUACAGGAUGCUGGAUUCUUUAAUUGUGAGUGCAAACUUUUUUUCAAUAUUUCAGUUGACCACUAGGUAGUAUUUUUGACAUCCUUUUUGUUCUCACCCUUUCCUACUUUCCUUCAUUUUUGUUCCCCUGUUCUGUAGAGUAAGAAAUGAAAAGAAAACCAAUAUCUAUUUUUCUGACAGUAAAAAAGCAAACCUGUGACUAUAUAUGCUGGAAUCAACAAAUAAUAUAUUUGUAUUGCACAAUAUAGUACAUUCUAUCAACAUCUUAAGUUUAUGUUGUCGUAUAUAUCACCAUGACACCAUCUGGAAGAUUAUCUUUCUCUAAAUCAUGUGGUCCAUUUUCAGGUAUGAGUACCAAAUUAAAGCAAAUGGAUUACAUAGGAGAAAACACCAUGUCUGUUUCAUUAAACACUAUCCCACAUUGUGUGUAAUACAGAAACAAUGAAUGAUGAUCUCCAGGCAGAUAAAUUCAGAUUGUUUAUCCCUCUCCAGUCAUGCAAUAUGGUGUUUCUUUUACUUAUUGUAUCCGUCGGUUUAUUUAUGAAAUUGUAAUGCACAUAUUGUGGAAUAGAUACUGAACUCCGCUUUCGUAGAGAUCAUAGUGAGCUUCACCUUUUAUUCCUGAGAUUUUAUUAUGGUUAUGUAGGUGUUGCCUUCCAAGGUUGUAAAUAUAAACUACCAUGCCGUAAACAUAGGGCUAAAGCCGCACUUAUAAGUAACGUAAUACUCAGGUUGAGCAGCCCUUGGG
rnacentral:lncRNA from 1 species